UACGUAGGGUGCGAGCGUUAAUCGGAAUUACUGGGCGUAAAGCGUGCGCAGGCGGUUUUGUAAGCCAGAUGUGAAAUCCCCGGGCUUAACCUGGGAAUGGCAUUUGGGACUGCAAGGCUUGAGUGCGGCAGAGGAGACUGGAAUUCCUGGUGUAGCAGUGAAAUGCGUAGAUAUCAUUUGGAACGCCAAUGGUGAAAACAGGCAGCUGGGAGUGUGCUGACGCUGAGACACGAAAGCCAGGGGAGCGAACGGG
rnacentral:rRNA from 1 species